CGGCCGCGUCGACAAAGGGCUAACGGUGGAUACCUAGGCACACAAAGGCGAAGAAGGACGUGGCGACCGACGAUAAGCGUACCGGGGAGCUAGGGAAGACAAGCUAUUGACUCCGGUAGAAUCCUACCGAAGUGGGAACCUAACCCGUUACUCCUAGGAAGGGAUAUCACCUUACUUAAGGUAAGGGGACUAACGCGAAGGGAACUAGAAACAUUCUUACGUACCUGCGAAAGGGAAAAAGAAAAUAAACAAUGUACCUUCCCCAGUAGGUGGCGAGACGGAACGGGAACACGACCCAACCGUCCGUUGGUUACGGCACAGGACGGGGUUGUAGGACCGCGACAUUGCAAGAACUCUCGUGAGAGGAACGAUCU
rnacentral:sRNA from 1 species